GCUGACUUAAUCACAGCUUUCAGCCUCCUAUUGCUUAUCUGUAUAAGUAAAGGACCAAGAUGCUAAGAAGACUGAAGAUAUUUUCAUCUUGGACUUCUACAGAAAAUGAGGAGUUAAGUCAGAAACCUCAGUGUUAAUAAAAACCCUUAGCUCCCAAAUAUAGGUAGCUGGUGAAGCAUUGAAAUCUGGAAGGUGCUGUUAGAACAAGGAAAAGGUAUGGAAGCAACAACUGAAACGAAAACAUAUGAAAGAUUUUCCAUUCUGUAUGGCCAAGACAAUGCACAUGGUUUUAUAUUCAUGAAAAAGAAAAAAGGUCUGCCUCUUCAUGUAGCAGUCAUCUUGCUGGAAAACAUGACUCCUUGCUAGCUCAUGAGAAAGAAGGAGAUGGCAAACAGAC